AUGAAUUACUUUGGAAUUAUUAGUUUGGAUUGUUUUUAAUUUGAGGUGAAUAUGUUUAGGUUGCGAAUAACGAUUUGUAUUUGAUGUCGUUGGCAAUUGAGGGUAAAAUUUUGUGGAGUGUGCUAUAAAUGGCUUGGAAGUAUCAGGUACGGAUUCCGUACUCCACUCCUUUGAUUGUAGUUGCAUUCUUUGUAUCUCGUGAUAUAUCGUCAUUUAUUUUCUUAUAAUCCUAUUGGAAUUCUUAAAUAGAAAUUUGAUAAUUGAUACUUUGGUUAUAUUCAGUAAUUUAAACUAAUUUCCUUCUAUUAAAAUUGGUACAUAUUCCAUGAUUUGUUCAGCGAGACUCUUGUUAAAUUUGAUUUGUUCGUCUUGUCCCUUGUUUCGAAUUCUGUUAUGAUUUCACAUAAUUGUUUCCUGUGAAAUUCAUACAUUACUUUCAUUUUGGAGUUGACACAUUGGACUCGUAUUUGUACUCUUUGAAUUAGGUUAUCAUGUUUAAUAUUUAUUUUUAAUAAUUCUAGAGCGGUACAUGUUGCUACCUUCUUUUUGAGACAUUGUGACUAUAAUUUGAUUUGGUUCAACAUGUACAUAUAGAACCCUUUUUGUUGGUAUUAUGUCGCAUGUGUUGUGACAUGGUAUUUUGUUAGAAUAUACCGUAGGGUAUACCAGAGCUAUAACCACCUGUGGGGGUACCACAGGCAUGUCGUCUUGGCACGAGAGACAUGACACUUUCCGUGGCGGUGUGAUUAGUCCACGGCGUCUCCGUUUUGGGCUCCGGAGGAAGUGGGCCAUUUGGUGUUUUGUUGUGGGAGGCGUAUGGGUUAACCCUAGUUUUCUGUUCUGCGGAUU
rnacentral:lncRNA from 1 species